rnacentral:rRNA from 1 species
GAAUUCGAUUCAGGCCUACACAUGCAAGUCGAGGGGUAACGAGAGGGAAGCUUGCUUUCCUUGUCGACGAAAAAAAGAUGGGUGAGUAACGCGUAUCCAACCUGCCCUUCAGUAAGGGAUAGCCUUUCGAAAGAAAGAAUAAUACCUUAUGUGAUCGUUUGAUGACAUCAGACGACGAUCAAAGAUUUAUCGCUGAAGGAUGGGGAUGCGUCCCAUUAGGCAGUAGGCGGGGUAACGGCCCACCUAACCUACGAUGGGUAGGGGUUCUGAGAGGAAGGUCCCCCACAUUGGAAGGGAGACACGGUCCAAACUCCUACGGGAGGCAGCAGUGAGGAAUAUUGGUCAA